rnacentral:lncRNA from 10 species
AGGACAAGAUUGUACACUAACACCAGCAUGGACCUGCUUUUCAUUGUGUCUGAAAUGUGAGCCACGUAGUGUCGGCCUGCUGUGAAGUUAACAUUGCCAGGACGAUUCUUCUACAGAAAUAAUUUCAAUUUUUUUCAGUAUUUAGUAGUGAAAGAUAUUAAUACAUUAAUGGUAAUACAUUUCUGGUUUAAUAUAAAUUAAGGAUGUUUUCUAGUUGUGCAUGAAUGCUGGCAACUUAGUAAGUUUUGACAAUUGUUUAAAUAUGUAAUGUUAAGCUUAGGUUUAAAAAAGUAAAGCUGGUAAACUGGGUCUUUGUCAUUUGCUUUAAAAAAAAAAAAAAAGAAAAUAAAUGCGAAUGUGUUGGUGCA